rnacentral:tRNA from 1 species
GGGGUUGUGGCUCAGUGGUAGAGCGCUUGCCUUGUAUGUGUGAGGUCCUGGGUUCAAUCCUCAGCACCA